GAAAUAACAACAUAAACCAAUAUAUAAUGGUAGUCAUUAUUAAUUAAAGAAACUCGCUUUAUAAUCGUAAACACCCGAUAAAUUUAACUUUAUUAAAAAGUUUAUAUACCGCCGUUAAAGGAUAAACAAAACAAAUAACCCUAAUUCUUAUAUAAAAUUUAAAAUCAGGUCAAGGUGUAACCUUUAAUAAAGCAAAAGUAAGUUACAUUAAAAACUAUUUAAGGAAAACAAAUAAAAAUAAAUUAGAAAAAGAAUUUAUUAGUACAUAAUAUUCAAAAACUAAUAUAGAUUAAAAAAAUAAAGA
rnacentral:rRNA from 1 species